CAGGUCUUUAAUAUCUUCUCUUUUUCAAACUAUUUACCCAACGAUUCGUUGUUCAGUGUUACCUCAGUUUAAAUUCUACAGGCAUAACCAAAAUCAUGAAACUAUUUUAUAAGUCUUAAGUGAAAACACGAUGCCACUUCUUUUUGCAAACAUGGUUGUUAAUUUUUUUUUCAGCUCAUCACAUGACAGCAGAUUUUUCUGACAUCAGCAACAUUCUGACCGAGCAGAACAGCAACAGCAAGUUUCCCUCCAUGAUCGCUAACUUCACUGAAACGGCUCCACGAGCUGAAGACACUUUAAGGGAAAUUGUGUCCUACAGAACGAACAAACAUCAGUUGUUCCUGUUCAUCCAGGGGCUGCAGAACAAGAGAAGAGCAGAUCCACUAGUGAUGGAUGAUUAGGAUCUGUGUUCACUGUGAUAUUAUUCACCAACAAUAAUGUAGCUUAUUAGUACGUUGUUACAUAAAACCCUAAAGAUAAAUUGUACACUUCCAACUGUUGUGACCUGCAUCUAAUAACACAACUCUGUGUUUUUCUUUCUUGUUAAAACUCUGACGUGAUAAACAAAUGUUAGAGGAUGGUUUUGUGCGGAGGAUCGGUUUAGCAUGAUGCUCUCUGAAUGUGUCUUAAUGUGACUUUUACUACGAGACUUUAUGGAGUUCCAUUUGUGUCCGGUAAUAAUGGAUUAAAUUCUAUCUUGGUAGAAUUAUAUUUCCAAUUAUUUACUAUCAUUUGUAAUAAAGUGAUGCCAACACCACGGA